UACGUAGGGAGCAAGCGUUGUCCGGAAUCAUUGGGCGUAAAGCGCGCGUAGGUGGCCUCAUAAGUCCGAUGUGAAAGUCAAAGGCUCAACCUUUGAAAGCCGGUGGAUACUGUGAGGCUAGAGUACGGAAGAGGCGAGUGGAAUUCCUGGUGUAGCGGUGGAAUGCGCAGAUAUCAGGAGGAACACCAAUAGCGAAGGCAGCUCGCUGGGACGUUACUGACACUGAGGCGCGAAAGCGUGGGGAGCGAACAGG
rnacentral:rRNA from 1 species